rnacentral:tRNA from 1 species
AUUUAUGUAGUUUAUUUAAAACAUUACAUUUUCACUGUAAAAAUAUUAUUUUAUAAUCUUAAAAC